rnacentral:rRNA from 1 species
AUUGAACGCUGGCGGCAGGCUUAACACAUGCAAGUCGAGCGGAGAUGAGGUGCUUGUACCUUAUCUUAGCGGCGGACGGGUGAGUAAUGCUUAGGAAUCUGCCUAUUAGUGGGGGACAACAUUCCGAAAGGAAUGCUAAUACCGCAUACGCCCUACGGGGGAAAGCAGGGGAUCUUCGGACCUUGCGCUAAUCGAUGAGCCUAAGUCGGAUUAGCUAGUUGGUGGGGUAAAGGCCUACCAAGGCGACGAUCUGUAGCGGGUCUGAGAGGAUGAUCCGCCACACUGGGACUGAGACACGGCCCAGACUCCUACGGGAGGCAGCAGUGGGGAAUAUUGGACAAUGGGCGGAAGCCUGAUCCAGCCAUGCCGCGUGUGUGAAGAAGGCCUUUUGGUUGUAAAGCACUUUAAGCGAGGAGGAGGCUACCUGGAUUAAUACUCUAGGAUAGUGGACGUUACUCGCAGAAUAAGCACCGGCUAACUCUGUGCCAGCAGCCGCCGUAACAC